AUAAUCAUUCAAGUAGUCCUUGACUUGUGGCAGUUCAGUCAGUGAUUCUCCAAAAUUACAACAGCGCUGAACGAAGGGACUCAUAAGUGUGACUGAAGUUACAGCCAUUGCAGCAUCCCCAUUGGUCACGGGAUCAAAAUUUGGGUGCUUGCAGUCUGCCGACACUCACAACCAUGGAUGGGGGGACACUGUAGCUCCCCUCCACCAGCUAACUCUCCACCCCAUCCAAAUUCUUUUGUACCCUGUCCCCCUGCUUUGAAAGGCAGCAAGCAAAUCCAAAACUACAAAGUUCACCCAACUUCUUUCUCUCCCAGUUCUGCACUAGUCUUUUGCAGUCAGCUGCCAUGGCCAAAGCAGAAGUAUCUCAUUUCCUUUACUAUGUCCUUUUCAUUGCUUAUCUGACUCCUUUUUGGACCUAGCUUCUCCCACAGACAGUACUACCUUGGAAUUUUUUUUGUUCAGCGCAUUCACCAAAGCAAGCCCAAGAAAGAUUUUCCUUACAUCAUUUAUUCUCUUAUUUUUUUUAAAUUAAACCCCUGGGAGAUCAUUUUUCUCUACUCUUCAGCCUGCCAGUGACUCACCAAGGACUCAACCAGGUGCCAGAUCUCAUCUACUUCCCUGUAGAUGACAGCCCCACCACCACACUCCUUACCUGGGACUCCAUCUACUUAAGUAUCCAUAAUUCCCAAUUAACAACCUCAACUAAGAGUGCUAGGAUUGCAGUCAUUGAAUGAAACAAUCAUAGGAUGUCUUGCUUAACAACUGCUUCGUUCAACAACUGCAAUUCCUGGGCCCAGCUAUGGUCAUAAAUCUGCCUGUAUUGAAGAAAUGCAAGAAAAAAAAUGGCACUGAUGAAGCUUUAAUCAGCUUUAAAGAAUUAAUAAAUUGUUUUGAAGCCUUACCAAACUGUGAACAGGAAGAAAUUUUGAGACGAUUGGAUAAAUUGAAACAAACACUGUUGCUAAUCUGAACAGCGGCCAAAUAUUUAAUUGACUUGGUAUCUUUGGACCUCUUGUCUAACACCGAUUCUGCAGGAAAUUAUUAUAAACUCUUUGAAUCCUGUAAUCAAGCAACUCUUCACAGAAAAUAAACAACCACAUAUACUUCUAUUCUAAAACAGUCCAAAUUGAUUCUGUUUUGUUCACAAUACAACAGACUGAUAAUCUA